rnacentral:pre_miRNA from 1 species
AGUGUGAUUGCUGGAUCAUAUGGUGAGACUAUGUUUAGCUUUGGAGGAAACUGACAAGUUUUCUUCCAAAGUGGAAUUACCAUUUUGCAUUUCCCCCAGCAAU